UACAGGGGGUGCAAACGUUGCUCGGAAUCAUUGGGCGUAAAGCGCACGUAGGCGGCUUGGUAUGUCGGGUGUGAAAUCCCCGGGCUCAACCUGGGAACUGCAUCCGAAACUGCCUUGCUCGAGUAUGGGAGAGGGAAGUGGAAUUUCCGGUGUAGCGGUGAAAUGCGUAGAUAUCGGAAGGAACAUCAGUGGCGAAGGCGACUUCCUGGACCAAUACUGACGCUCAGGUGCGAAAGCGUGGGGAGCAAACGGG
rnacentral:rRNA from 1 species